rnacentral:lncRNA from 1 species
UAGAGGUUUAGGAGAGAUGGUAGAGGUUUAGGAGAGAUGGAAGAGGUUUAGGAGAGAUGGUAGAGAUUUAGGAGAGAUGGUAGAGGUUUAGGAGAGAUGGUAGAGGUUUGGUUAGGAGAGAUGUUAGAGGUUUAGGAGAGAUGGUAGAGGUUUUGGGAGAGAUGGUAGAGGUUUGGGUAGGAGAGAUGGUAGAGGUUUAGGAGAGAUGGUAGAGGUUUAGGAGAGAUGGUAGAGGUUUAGGAGAGAGGGUAGAGGUUUAGGAGAGAUGGUAGAGGUUUAGGAGAGAUGGUAGAGGUUUGGGUAGGGGAGAUGGUAGAGGUUUAGGAGAGAUGGUAGAGGUUUGGGUAGGAGAGAUGGUAGAGGUUUAGGAGAGAUGGUAGAGGUUUGGGUAGGAGAGAUGGUAGAGGUUUGGGAGAGAUGGUAGAGGUUUAGGAAAGAUGGUAGAGCUUUAGGAGAGAUGGUAGAGGUUUGGGAGAGAUGGUAGAGGUUUAGGAGAGAUGGUAGAGGUUUAGGAGAGAUGGUAGAGGUUUAGGGGAGAUGGUAGAGGUUUAGGAGAGAGGGUAGAGGUUUAGGGUGAUGGUAGAGGUUUAGGAGAGAUGGUAGAGGUUUAGGAGAGAUGGUAGAGGUUUAGGAGAGAUGGUAGAGGUUUGGGAGAGAUGGUAGAGGUUUAGGGAGAUGGUAGAGGUUUAGGAGAGAUGGUAGAGGUUUAGGAGAGAUGGUAGAGGCUUAGGAGAGAUGGUAGAGGUUUAGGAGAGAUGGUAGAGGUUUAGGAGAGAUGGUAGAGGUUUAGGAGAGAUGGUAGAGGUUUAGGAGAGAUGGAAGAGGUUUAGGAGAGAUGGUAGAGGUUUAGGAGAGAUGGUAGAGGUUUGGGUAGGAGAGAUGUUAGAGGUUUGGGUAGGAGAGAUGGUAGAGGUUUGGGUAGGAGAGAUGGUAGAGGUUUGGGAGAGAUGGUAGAGAUUUAGGAG